CCCCCCUCAGGAUGGCACCUGGAGAGUUUCCAGUCCUCUACCAGUCUCAGCUACAGGGGGGAGAGUUAAGCAGAGGUCUAUUCGUUCCAUUCCUAGCUUGGCCAGUGACUACUGAAUGGAAGGCUAUCUGCUACAAGG